rnacentral:rRNA from 1 species
CCUACGGGGGACUGCAGUGGGGAAUAUUGCGCAAUGGGCGAAAGCCUGACGCAGCGACGCCGCGUGAGGGAUGAAGGUCUUCGGAUCGUAAACCUCUGUCAGCAGGGAAGAACGGUCACUGUGCUAAUCAGCAGUGAAUUGACGGUACCUGCAAAGGAAGCACCGGCUAACUCCGUGCCAGCAGCCGCGGUGAUACGGAGGGUGCGAGCGUUAAUCGGAAUUACUGGGCGUAAAGCGCUCGUAGGCGGUAUGUCAAGUCAAGGGUGAAAGCCCCGCGCUCAACGUGGGAACUGCCUUUGAAACUGGCAAACUGGAGUGUGUGAGAGGAUAGUGGAAUUCCAGGUGUAGGAGUGAAAUCCGUAGAUAUCUGGAGGAACAUCAGUGGCGAAGGCGACUAUCUGGCACAUAACUGACGCUGAGGAGCGAAAGCGUGGGUAGCAAACAGGAUUAGAUACCCCAGUAGUC